UGUUCUACCUUAGCAUUCUGGGUCACAGAGCCUCAGGGCACCUGGGGGCUCGGGUCAUGAUCUCACCAUUCGUGAGUUCAAGCCCCACAACAGGCUCGGUGCUGACAGCUCAGUGCCUGGAGCCUGCUUCGGAUUCUGUGUCUCCCUCUCUCUCUGCUCCUCCCCUGCUCACGCUCUGUCUCUCAAAAACAAAUGAAUAUUAAAAAAUUAAAAAAAAAAAAAAGGAAGAAAAGAAAAUGUAUGUUCCAGAUGAGGCGCAAGGGCAGGGAGGGACCCGCCAUAAUCAAGGCUGGUGGUGAGCUUUUCUCAAGGGCUGUCUGACCAUGUGAUCACCCAGCGCAAAACCCCCAGUGGAUUCCCAAUGUUCAUGCAACAAAGAGGAAGAUCGUGUCUUGUGGGUGGUGGGGGCUACAGAAUUUCCUCUGGGGUGGGAGGACGUGGGGGAGGCCACAUUUUGGAAGAAGUGGGGAGUUGGGAACAUAUCUUGAUGUUUCAUUUGCUUUACCUUCUCGACUCCUGCCGCGUUAUUGUAAAAAAGCAAACGGAUGAUUUUAUUACUGUGUGUGUAUCUGUGAAAAAUGAAAUAUUCCCAUUGUUUUAUCCUUUUCAUUUAAGUGGGGGAUAUUUUUCAGGAAACCAUAGCAAAGAACAUGUAGGGAUCACUAGUUACGUGCUGGACGUUGUCAUUAGCGUCCAGGAUCCCACGCCAUUGCAUUAAAAAUGAAAGGGCAGAUUUUCAGCCUCGGAAAAAUUGAGGAAUAAUUACAGCCAGUGGUACCCAUGGAAACAAUCGGAAAAACAAUCUUAAUGAAUUCGGACACCUUUCUCUCUUUCUUUUUUAACCAUGAUAUGGUAAAAGGCAUCUCUUGCAUACAGAGUAUAUUGUGCCGUAUCUGAGAAACCCACCUUGUUUUCCUGUUAAUGAAAUAGCAAUGCAUACGCAUGGACAGACUGGGUCCCCCAACGGGCAUUAGUCGUGAAUUUGGGGAGCGUUUCAUGUCACAGCUUGGGUCAAGGUCCCCUGUGUACACGCUUGACCUGGGGCAAUGUUGUACUCAGGAAGGGAUUUCAGCCCGCAAAUUCUGCUUUAUUUGGAACCUCUGUGAUCCCGGAUCAUCUGUGUCUCACUGAAAUCCACCAAUGAGGGCUGUUUCCAUGGCGACCCUGUGCAGUCUCAGGCCAUCUUCUCUCUCCAGGCGACUUGCGUGGCCCCCGGGGCAUCUCCCUCGUGGAAUCCUGCCAUGUCCCCUCCUCUGCACGCACACAGCAGCCUGUCAGCCGUGCCCCUGCCCUGCUCUCCGUCCUCAGACCCUGCCCUCAGCCCGCGUGUCUAGCCAACUAACAAAAUGGACAAUUUUCUCUUGCUUCUGAUGGGGUCCCUCCUCUUAGGAGAUCAACACAUUUGCAGGACGUCUCUUGAAUAGGAAUCUCAUUUCAGUUACUUCUUACUUAACAGAAGCAGGAGGUUUUUCUGUUGAAAUAACUCAUUUGCCCCACUCGGACCCACUGCCCUGGACUCCACACUGUCUUCACCGGGACUGGGCCAGGCCACUCUUUUGGAAUCACUCGGGCAGGAGGAGCAGCUGGCUAACGCCACAGGAGGCCCAUGGAGGCGGGACGUCCCUGGCUCGAUGGCCCCCUUCCUCUCCUGUCCACGGUUCUCUUUCCCUUUGCCUCAUUUCCUGACUUUCAUUGCAGCCAUCAGUGUCUGAAUGCGUAUUCAUUCGCUUGUGUGUGUGCACUGGCCUCCUGUCAGGGCCCCAGGGACAGCAUCAGGCCCUGGGCACCGAGAUCCUUGCCUGUCCAGUUCACGUCUGCCUUUCCCAGACCCGCCCGAAUGAUGCUGAUCUUCCCCGAUGCUACUUCUAGACUAGAUCUCGGAUAUAUGCCAAAUACUGUAACAGAUGAAGUGAUUUUCUGUGGCUUUUCUGGAACCAGAAAGCAGUGGAAAAAACUUCGUUGUCCAUCGCAGGGGAACUGCUUACGUCAGUCUUGGUGUCUUCAUACUGUGGGAGAUUCUGCGACAGUCCAAAGAGAAUGAAGGUGAUCUUGACGUACGGAUGGGGAACACGGCCCAAGGUGUUUUGUCACAGGAAGAGGACACGUGCCCAAUUGCAUAGACUAUAAUUUUGUAUAUUAUGCAAAUAUGGGAAUAUAAUCAUGCAUAACAACAUGUGAGUGAUAAUUUUGCAUAAAUAUAUGCAAAACUUGGCUCUGAGGUGAGGCAUAAGAAAUUGGUCUUACGGGACUUGCCACCAGAGAGGCAGAGGUGGGAGAGGGAUUUCUUUUUGUUCUGUCCAUUUAGCAUUUUCGCGCUUGCCUUCAAAAUAAAUUGUCAAUAGCAGGCAUAA